AGAGGAGUCACUAUGUUUCCACUUGGCUGGAUUUUCCUUGUUGCCAUUUUAAAAGGUGUCCAGUGUGAAGUACAACUGGUGGAGUCUGGUGGAGACCUUAAACAGCCUGGAGGGUCUCUGAAGCUCUCCUGUGCAGCCUCUGGAUUCACUUUCAGUAGCUAUGCCAUGAGCUGGGUUCGCCAAGCUCCAGGAAAGGGGCUGCAGUGGGUCUCAGCUAUUAGUGACAAAAGCAGUAACACAUACUACGCAGACUCUGUGAAGGGCCGAUUCACCAUCUCCAGAGACAACAACAAGAACAUGCUGUACCUGCAGAUGAACAGUCUGAGAACAGAGGACACAGCCAUGUAUUACUGUGCAAAAGACACAGUGCAGGAAACUCAAUGUGAACCUAGACAGAAACCUCUCUGUGAGAGAAGAGUCCACAAGAUUCUGGUCCAGGAGCAGGUGCAGAUGUGGGUUAAAGGCAAAUUUCCUGUAGUGAUCUGGGCAUCCUCCAUCUGA